rnacentral:rRNA from 1 species
UACAGAGGUCUCAAGCGUUGUUCGGAUUCAUUGGGCGUAAAGGGUGCGUAGGCGGCGCGGUAAGUCGGGGUGUGAAAUCUCGGGGCUUAACUCCGAAACUGCAUUCGAUAACUGCCGUGCUUGAGGAACUGGAGAGGAGACUGGAAUUUACGGUGUAGCGGUGAAAUGCGUAGAUAUCGUAAGGAAGACCCAGUGGCGAAGGC